AGCUCAGUAGAUGUUUUCAGUUCCAGUGCAGUACAGGAAGGCUGAAUCAAAAAGGCUAGGUUCAGAGUCUGAGAAUAAGUAAACAGACAGGAUGAAAGGCUCAUGCCCGAAAUGUUUAUUCUCCUGUUCCGUGGAUGCUGCCUGACCUGCUGCGCUUUUCCAGCAACACAAUUUCAGCUCUGAUCUCCAGCAUCUGCAGUCCUCACUUUCUCCUAUUGUAUUUAGGUACUCUGUACCUAAGAUGGCGCUGUUUGUUGGUUCCAUUGUUACAAUAACUAAUCUGUAACUGAAAAAGCUGUACCUAGAUACCUUUGUACUCAAGGUGGUGCUGUAAGUGGUGACUUAUAACUUUUCACUGUACUGGUUUGAGUAAUUGUGACAAUAAAGUGAAUUACUUAAUUAAGUAAUUAAUUCAUUAA